AACGAACGCUGGCGGCAUGCCUAACACAUGCAAGUCGAACGAGACCUUCGGGUCUAGUGGCGCACGGGUGCGUAACGCGUGGGAACCUGCCCUUAGGUUCGGAAUAACUCCCCGAAAGGGGUGCUAAUACCGGAUAAUGUCUUCGGACCAAAGAUUUAUCGCCUUUGGAUGGGCCCGCGUUGGAUUAGCUAGUUGGUAGGGUAAAAGCCUACCAAGGCGACGAUCCAUAGCUGGUCUGAGAGGAUGAUCAGCCACACUGGGACUGAGACACGGCCCAGACUCCUACGGGAGGCAGCAGUGGGGAAUAUUGGACAAUGGGAGAAAGCCUGAUCAAGCAAUGCCGCGUGAGUGAUGAAGGCCUUAGGGUUGUAAAGCUCUUUUACCCGGGAUGAUAAUGACAGUACCGGGAGAAUAAGCUCCGGCUAACUCCGUG
rnacentral:rRNA from 1 species